rnacentral:rRNA from 1 species
ACUCAAAUGAAUUGACGGGGACCCGCACAACCAGUGGAGCGUGUGGUUCAAUUCGAGACAAAGCGAAGCACCUAACCAGGGCUUGACAUGCUACCGUUUUAACUAUCUGGAAACAGACGGCUAUCCGCAAGGAUGGUAACACAGCUGCUGCAUGGCUGUCGUCAGCUCGUGCCGUGAGGUGUUCUCUUAAGUGAGACAACGAGCGCAACCCCCAUCUGAUGUUACAAGUGUCAUCAGAGACGGUCUUAGAUUUAUCUAGGAAGGAAGGAGGGGAUGACGUCAAGUCAGCACGGCGCUUAUGCCCUGGGUCACACACACCCUACAAUGGCGAAAAACAAUGGGCCGCAAGCCGGUAACGGCAAGCAAAUCCCCACUAAAUUUCGCCUCAGUUCAGAUUGAGGUCUGCAACCCGACCUCAUGAAGCCGGAAUUGGUAGUAAUCGCAGAUCAGCAGGCUGCGGUGAAUACGUUCUCGGGUCUUGCACACACCGCCCGU